rnacentral:rRNA from 1 species
GAUGAACGCUGGCUACAGGCUUAACACAUGCAAGUCGAGGGGAAACGACGGGGAAGCUUGCUUCCCCGGGCGUCGACCGGCGCACGGGUGAGUAACGCGUAUCCAACCUGCCUCUGACUGAGGGAUAACCCGCCGAAAGUCGGCCUAAUACCUCAUGGCAUCGUCUGCGGGCAUCCAACGACGAUUAAAGAUUUCAUCGGUCAGGGAUGGGGAUGCGUCUGAUUAGCUUGUUGGCGGGGUACCGGCCCACCAAGGCUACGAUCAGUAGGGGUUCUGAGAGGAAGGGGCCCCACAGGGGAACUGGGACACUGGCCAAACUGCUACGGGCGGCAGCAGUGAGGAAUAGUGGUGUAGGGGAGGGAGCCUGAACCAGCCAAGUAGCGUGCAGGAUGGCGGCGUUAUGGGUGGUAAACUGCUUUUAGGCGGGGAUAAAGUGAGGGACGUGUCCUUCAGUGCAGGUACUGGAUGAAUAAGGACCGGCUAAUUCCGUG